rnacentral:rRNA from 1 species
AUGGCCAGGCUGUCUCCACCCGAGACUCAGUGAAAUUGAACUCGCUGUGAAGAUGCAGUGUACCCGCGGCAAGACGGAAAGACCCCGUGAACCUUUACUAUAGCUUGACACUGAACAUUGAGCCUUGAUGUGUAGGAUAGGUGGGAGGCUUUGAAGUGUGGACGCCAGUCUGCAUGGAGCCGACCUUGAAAUACCACCCUUUAAUGUUUGAUGUUCUAACGUGGACCCGUGAUCCGGGUUGCGGACAGUGUCUGGUGGGUAGUUUGACUGGGGCGGUCUCCUCCUAAAGAGUAACGGAGGAGCACGAAGGUUGGCUAAUCCUGGUCGGACAUCAGGAGGUUAGUGCAAUGGCAUAAGCCAGCUUGACUGCGAGCGUGACGGCGCGAGCAGGUGCGAAAGCAGGUCAUAGUGAUCCGGUGGUUCUGAAUGGAAGGGCCAUCGCUCAACGGAUAAAAGGUACUCCGGGGAUAACAGGCUGAUACCGCCCAAGAGUUCAUAUCGACGGCGGUGUUUGGCACCUCGAUGUCGGCUCAUCACAUCCUGGGGCUGAAGUAGGUCCCAAGGGUAUGGCUGUUCGCCAUUUAAAGUGGUACGCGAGCUGGGUUUAGAACGUCGUGAGACAGUUCGGUCCCUAUCUGCCGUGGGCGCUGGAGAACUGAGGGGGGCUGCUCCUAGUACGAGAGGACCGGAGUGGACGCAUCACUGGUGUUCGGGUUGUCAUGCCAAUGGCACUGCCCGGUAGCUAAAUGCGGAAGAGAUAAGUGCUGAAAGCAUCUAAGCACGAAACUUGCCCCGA